AAUGUAGAGUCGGUUGUAGCUGGCCUUUCCUCCCAGGGAGGGCAUGUGCACACCUUCUCUUUCAUCCACACACACCCCCUGUGCACUUGUGAGACGGAGGAGGCAUUUUUUUUCCUUUAACUAGGAAUCAAGGUUUCUGUCUAUCGUCACAUAAAAUCUAAUUUAUUUAAAAACUGAAUGUAAAUGGAUGUAACACAUCUUAAAUACAAAGUUUCAACAACGGAUCUCUUGGCUCUCGCAUCGAUGAAGAACGCAGCGAAAUGCGAUAAGUAAUGUGAAUUGCAGAAUUCAGUGAAUCAUCGAAUCUUUGAACGCACCUUGCGCUCCUUGGUAUUCCUUGGAGCAUGCCUGUUUGAGUAUCAUGAAAUUAUCAAAGCAAAGUCUUUUUUUUUGUUGUUGUUAAUUCAACUUAAAGUCUGCGCUUUGGAUUUGGAGGUUUUGCAGAUUUAAAUUUCUGCUCCUCUUAAAUGCAUUAGCUGGAUCUCUAUGAACUUGGUUCCACUCGGCGUGAUAAGUUAUCACUCGUCGAGGACACCCGUAAAAAAGGUGGCCAGGAUUUUUCAAGGAUGAGCCGCUUCUAAAUAGUCCAUUGACUUGGACAAAAUUUAUGAUCUGAUCUCAAAUCAGGUAGGACUACCCGCUGAACUUAA
rnacentral:rRNA from 1 species